rnacentral:rRNA from 1 species
UGGGGAAUAUUGCACAAUGGGCGCAAGCCUGAUGCAGCCAUGCCGCGUGUGUGAAGAAGGCCUUCGGGUUGUAAAGCACUUUCAGCGAGGAGGAAGGUGGUGAGCUUAAUACGCUCAUCAAUUGACGUUACUCGCAGAAGAAGCACCGGCUAACUCCGUGCCAGCAGCCGCGGUAAUACGGAGGGUGCAAGCGUUAAUCGGAAUUACUGGGCGUAAAGCGCACGCAGGCGGUUUGUUAAGUCAGAUGUGAAAUCCCCGGGCUCAACCUGGGAACUGCAUUUGAAACUGGCAAGCUAGAGUCUCGUAGAGGGGGGUAGAAUUCCAGGUGUAGCGGUGAAAUGCGUAGAGAUCUGGAGGAAUACCGGUGGCGAAGGCGGCCCCCUGGACGAAGACUGACGCUCAGGUGCGAAAGCGUGGGGCAGCAAACAGGAUUAGAUACCCUGGUAGUCCACGCUGUAAACGAUGUCGAUUUUGGAGGUUGUGCCCUUGAGGCGUGGCUUCCGGAGCUAACGCGUUAAAUCGACCGCCUGGGGAGUACGGCCGUAAGGUUAAAACUC